rnacentral:rRNA from 1 species
AGAGUUUGAUCCUGGCUCAGGAUGAACGCUGGCGGUAUGCCUAACACAUGCAAGUCGUACGAGAGUUUUUAACUCUAGUGGCGGACGGGUGAGUAACACGUGAGAAUUUGCCUUUAGGAGGGGGACAACAAUUGGAAACGAAUGCUAAUACCCCAUAUGCUUUCACGAGUAAAAUGGAUUUUAUUAUCUGCCUAAAGAGAAGCUCGCGGCUGAUUAGCUUGUUGGUAAGGUAAAAGCUUACCAAGGCGACGAUCAGUAUCUGGUUUGAGAGGACGAUCAGACACACUGGAACUGAGACACGGUCCAGACUCCUACGGGAGGCAGCAGUGGGGAAUUUUCCGCAAUGGGCGAAAGCCUGACGGAGCAAUACCGCGUGAGGGAAGACUGCCUAUGGGUUGUAAACCUCUUUUUUCAGGGAGGAAUAAAAUGACGUGUACCUGAAGAAUAAGCAUCGGCUAACUCCGUGCCAGCAGCCGCGGUAAG